GGAAAUCUCACCAGGCCCGGACACUGGAAGGAUUGACAGAUUGAUAGCUCUUUCUUGAUUCGGUGGGUGGUGGUGCAUGGCCGUUCUUAGUUGGUGGAGCGAUCUGUCUGGUUAAUUCCGAUAACGAACGAGACCCCAACCUGCUAACUAGCCCUCGGGUCCUGCUUCUGUUGGGCCCGACGGAAUGAUUCGCUUCUUAGAGGGACUCGCGGCGCCUAGCCGCACGAAGGGGGGCGAUAA
rnacentral:rRNA from 1 species